UUCACCCAAUGGGCAAUCUAGAAGUCCUAGAUUGCCGGUGUGGAAGAAGGGCCCAAUUCUACAUAUCACCCAUUGUGGAGGAGAGAUGCCAACUAAUGAGUUGCAACUCAACCUGUACUCUUCACAUGGUGACAGAAGAAAAACAACAAAAAUAAUCACCCUUACAGUGGACUCUACAGAUUAUCCCAAGAACCAAGGUGGUGGUAUGAAAGGCACUGGCGAGUUCUUUGUGAGUACUGAACCAUGAA